AGGUCAGUUAAAUGUAGAAUGUAGAAAAAGUAGAAAAAGUAGGAAGCUUUAGAUGAGUGCCAACAAACAGCUGUGUGGCUUUGCAAAACGCAGAGGAAAAAUAAGAAAAGAGAGCGAUAAGACCAAUUCAGCAAAGACCCGUUAACUCGAAAAUGAGAGCCAGUGACUGACGUUGGGAGAAUGUAGCAGAGCGAACGGUGCGAGAGAGCGCCAAAACAACAAUGUAAAUAAGAAACAACAACAAUGCACAAAGCACCCGCGUCAUUAACUAUUAUCCAAUAUAAUAAUAAAGAUAAUGGUUUUAACACAAAUAACUAAUUUGCAUGCAAACGGCGGCCUCAACCGAGUUGAAAAUGUUAACUUUGGGAAUAUAUCAGAUCGGUAAUUUAGACACUAGGCGAAUAAAUGUAGGAGCAAAUAUAAAACGCGUACGUGAUCAACAGAGACCGAAUUCGAAUGCCCUUAUACAAAUCAUGUAUUCCUGAUCCAGACUUAUUCUCUUCGGAAUAUUCUACAAGUAUUUAAAUUUUAACUACACUAACAUCAACAAUUAUUUUUUUAGCAUUCACUGAGUAGGAACUUGACUUAUUUAAUAUUAAUUUUUAGCCAACAGAUCCGUCUGCGACCACUGAUUUUCGCCCUUUAAUUACCGUUUCUUGUUCAGAUUUUCUAAGCCUCUCUUCGCCAAAAACCACUCCAAUUUUUGGAUUUAAAUCUCGGUUCAUUUGGGAGUUAUCCGGUUUAAGGAACCAGUUCCAUAAUUUGAGUCAGCUGCCCGACUCCCUGGACUCACGAGUCGUCGAUAGUCGCUUAUCGAAUUUAUGCCUAUCGUUAUCUGGCCUAACAUAAAAAACUUUUUCGAAUUUGUAAUUUGUGUAUUCAUUUGUAGUUUAGCACAUAACAAGCACACUACGGUUUCGAUGCUCGUCUCGGAACAGGAAUGGAGGAUGUGCGUGUGUUGCUGGUCGUACUGCUCAAUGUAGGCAACCGCCCAAAACCGUGAAUUUAAUGCCUGCUGAAGCCGCUUAGGACAAAGUUUCCCUUGUGUAUCGAAUUCCCGGUGAGUAUCGAACCUCUCGGGCCUUUAAGUUGUAACGCUUCGCUGCUUUCUCGUAGGCCUGAUGUAUCCUUUCUUUUAUUUUCUCUCUGUAUAACUGUUGUAGAAAAGAUCUGGGCAAUUGGGCAAUCUCAGCUUCAUUCAGAGCAUUCCACUUGCAUGCCAGCGAGUAAUCUACGCCAUUCGUAAACAUAUGUUGUCGGAACAUAACAAAGUUCGGCGAAGUUCCGGUGCUGUUAUGGAUGAAUGACCUCUGCGACGCUUGUUUGUCCGCUAAAUGUUCAUCCCAUCGCGUGUGGUCGUCCUGGAUGUUCACUCGAAUUGCUGCUAACACGGAUUGGUUUACUCUCUCCGAUGCAUUAUAUUGUGGUGUCCGUAUGGAUUGUUUCCGGAACUCCAAAUUGAGUGAAGCCACACAAACUUGGUUAGGUGAUCCAACGCGAUGAAUAACAUUGUAUUUCCUCGACGAGACCGCGGAUACUUUCCUAGGAAAUCCAGGUACAACUUUUGAAUGGGUCGAUCUGCCCAAAAGGAGGUUCCCCAUCACUGCUCGCUUUAGCUGCGUUGUGUGUCUCGGACUUGAACUACCAUUUUGGACUGGUAAUACAUAUGCUGGAGUCUUGCUAAGGUCUUUGCCAUACCCACGUGCACUGCUAUUAAAAUGUGUCUUCUUUAAUAGAAGUCCUUCUUCCACACGUAUUCAUUCUCAAACUCCGUUGUCUCAAAAUUGAAGAGCUUUACUUCGGCGGCUUCAUUCGGCCAGGAUAGCAUGUCGGCCACAAUGUUGUCUUUCCCUUUCCGAUGCUCUAUGUUGAAGUGUAAUGCUGACGACCCCCGCGCCAGUCUCCCGUUCAAAUCCUUGAGCGUCAUAAGCCAUUGCAGGCUUGCGUGAGUUACCGAUCACGCAAGCCUGCAAUGGAAUACGAUGCAUACACACAUACAUAUCUAUACAGCAACAGUGUUUUUUUUUUUGUGUAACGUAAUUUUUGUGUUAUGUUUUUGUGAACCGCCAUCCAAUAUUGCACGUAUAUAUAUAUAUAUAAACCAAUUGUAACAUCUCCCAAAUAUUUUUUGAAUACAUAUAUAUAAUUA